rnacentral:rRNA from 1 species
UACGUAGGCAGCGAGCGUUGUUCGGAGUUACUGGGCGUAAAGGGUGUGUAGGCGGUUGUUUAAGUUUGGUGUGAAACCUCCCGGCUCAACUGGGAGGGUGCGCCGAAUACUGAAUGACUCGAGUGCGGGAGAGGAAAGUGGAAUUCCUGGUGUAGCGGUGAAAUGCGUAGAUAUCAGGAGGAACACCGGUGGUGUAGACGGCUUUCUGGACCGUAACUGACGCUGAGACACGAAAGCGUGGGUAGCAAACAGG